rnacentral:rRNA from 1 species
UUGUCUCAAAGAUUAAGCCAUGCAUGUCUCAGUACAAGCCAAAUUAAGGUGAAACCGCGAAAGGCUCAUUAAAUCAGUUAUGGUUCCUUAGAUCGUACCCACAUUUACUUGGAUAACUGUGGUAAUUCUAGAGCUAAUACAUGCAAACAGAGCCCCGACCGGAGACGGAAGGGGCGCUUUUAUUAGAUCAAAACCAAUCGGUGGCGGUUUCCGUCAUCGUAUAACUUGGUGACUCUGAAUAACUUUACGCUGAUCGCACGGUCUCGCACCGGCGACGCAUCUUUCAAAUGUCUGCCUUAUCAACUGUCGAUGGUAGGUUCUGCGCCUACCAUGGUUGUAACGGGUAACGGGGAAUCAGGGUUCGAUUCCGGAGAGGGAGCCUGAGAAACGGCUACCACAUCCAAGGAAGGCAGCAGGCGCGCAAAUUACCCACUCCCGGCACGGGGAGGUAGUGACGAAAAAUAACGAUACGGGACUCAUCCGAGGCCCCGUAAUCGGAAUGAGUACACUCUAAACCCUUUAACGAGGAUCAAUUGGAGGGCAAGUCUGGUGCCAGCAGCCGCGGUAAUUCCAGCUCCAAUAGCGUAUAUUAAAGUUGUUGCGGUUAAAAAGCUCGUAGUCGAAUCUGUGUCCCGCGCCGCCGGUUCAUCGUUCGCGGUGUUAACUGGCGUGCCGCGGGACGUCCUGCCGGUGGGCUUAGCUCGAGAGGGCGGCCCAACUCAAUCCCGCCGCGGUGCUCUUCAUUGAGUGUCGAGGUGGGCCGGCACGUUUACUUUGAACAAAUUAGAGUGCUUAAAGCAGGCUAAAACUUCGCCUGAAUACUGUGUGCAUGGAAUAAUGGAAUAGGACCUCGGUUCUAUUUUGUUGGUUUUCGGAACCCCGAGGUAAUGAUUAAUAGGAACGGAUGGGGGCAUUCGUAUUGCGACGUUAGAGGUGAAAUUCUUGGAUCGUCGCACGACGGACAG